rnacentral:lncRNA from 1 species
CACUCACCUCUGGGUAGCUCUGACCAGACACUGGGGCAACAGACUCACUGCUGGGGUCUUCGGUUCCUCGGGUCCGAACCUACACAGGUGGACUCAAAUGAGGGACCAAACAAACAUGAACAUAACUCUAAACUAUUCCCCAAAAACCCCCUAAAACAUCAUGGAAUAAUCAUAGAAAAACAUGCAAGAAAGGGCUGGACAGGACACUUUCGGCGGCAGGUUCGGCGGCCGAAAGUCCCUCUAGAGCCGAAAGUCAGGCAGGUUCGGCGGCACCUUCGGCGGCCGAAACUCCCAGACAGAGACGAAAGUCUCCUUUCGGGGGCAAGCUUCGGCAGCCGAAGGCUGCCUCCACAAACAUGUUCGGCGGCCGAAAGUUCCUUCGGCUGCCGAACCUGGUUUCGCCCAGAAUGGCAGAAACUCAGCUCCCCUAUGCAUUUAUGCCUCCAAUCUCAUCCAAACAUGCAUAAACCUAUU